rnacentral:rRNA from 1 species
GACGAACGCUGGCGGCGUGCUUAACACAUGCAAGUCGAGCGAAGCGGCGGACGGGUGAGUACCACGUGAGUAACCGGCCUUAGACAUUGGGAUAGCCUCGGGAAACCGGGAUUAAUACCAAAUGGUCUAAGAUGAACUCGCGUCCCAUUAGCUAGUUGGUGGGUAACGGCCCACCAAGGCGUCGAUGGGUAGCCGGCCUGGGAGGGUGAACGGCCACAGUGGAAGUGAGAAACGGUCCAAACUCUGCGAGAGGCAGCAGUGGGGAAUAUUGCAAAAUGGAGGGAACUCUGAUGCAGCGACGCCGCGUGAACGAAGAAGGCUGUCGAGUCGGAAAGUUGUUUUAUAUGGGAAGCGGUACCAUAAGAAAAAGCCCCGGCUAACUACGUGCCAGCAGCCGCGGUAAUUC